UACGAAGGGUGCAAGCGUUACUCGGAAUUACUGGGCGUAAAGCGUGCGUAGGUGGUUUGUUAAGUCUGAUGUGAAAGCCCUGGGCUCAACCUGGGAAUUGCAUUGGAUACUGGCAGGCUAGAGUGCGGUAGAGGAUGGCGGAAUUCCCGGUGUAGCAGUGAAAUGCGUAGAGAUCCGGAAGAACACCGGUGGCGAAGGCGGUCUGCUGGGGUCGAACUGACGCUGAGGCGCGACAGCGUGGGGAGCAAACAGG
rnacentral:rRNA from 1 species